rnacentral:rRNA from 1 species
CAGCAGUAGCCGCGGGAAUACGUAGGGUGCGAGCGUUAAUCGGAAUUACUGGGCGUAAAGCGUGCGCAGGCGGUUCGUUAAGACAGAUGUGAAAUCCCCGGGCUUAACCUGGGAACUGCAUUUGUGACUGGCGAGCUGGAGUAUGGCAGAGGGGGGUAGAAUUCCACGUGUAGCAGUGAAAUGCGUAGAGAUGUGGAGGAAUACCGAUGGCGAAGGCAGCCCCCUGGGCCAAUACUGACGCUCAUGCACGAAAGCGUGGGGAGCAAACAGGAUUAGAUACCCCAGUAGUCCCUGUCUCUUAUAA